GGGGAAUCUUCCGCAAUGGGCGAAAGCCUGACGGAGCAACGCCGCGUGAGUGAGGAAGGCCUUCGGGUCGUAAAGCUCUGUCUUCAGGGAAGAAAAAAAUGACGGUACCUGAGGAGGAAGCCCCGGCUAACUACGUGCCAGCAGCCGCGGUAAUACGUAGGGGGCGAGCGUUGUCCGGAAUUACUGGGCGUAAAGGGCGCGUAGGCGGUUAUUUAAGUCAGAGGUGAAAACUACCGGCUUAACCGGUAGCCUGCCUUUGAAACUGGAUGACUUGAGGGCAGGAGAGGGGAGUGGAAUUCCCAGUGUAGCGGUGAAAUGCGUAGAUAUUGGGAGGAACACCAGUGGCGAAGGCGGCUCUCUGGCCUGUUUCUGACGCUGAGGCGCGAAAGCGUGGGGAGCAAACAGGAUUAGAUACCCUGGUAGUCCACGCUGUAAACGAUGGGUGCUAGGUGUAGGAGGUAUCGACCCCUUCUGUGCCGUAGUUAACACAAUAAGCACCCCGCCUGGGGAGUACGGCCGCAAGGUUGAAACUCAAAG
rnacentral:rRNA from 1 species